rnacentral:tRNA from 1 species
GCCCGAUAGCUCAGUCGGUUAGAGCAGGGGAUUGAAAAUCCCCGUGUCCUUGGUUCGAUUCCGAGUCCGGGCACCA